rnacentral:rRNA from 1 species
UAGGGAAUAUUGCGCAAUGGGCGAAAGCCUGACGCAGCGAUACCGCGUGAGUGAGGAAGGUCUUCGGAUUGUAAAGCUCUGUCAGGGUGGAAAAACGAUCGGUGGUCUAAUAGGCCAACGAAGUGAUGGUACAUCCAAAGGAAGCACCGGCCAACUUCGUGCCAGCAGCCGCGGUAAUACGAAGGGUGCUAGCGUUGUUCGGAUUUAUUGGGCGUAAAGCGCGCGCAGGCGGGUAGAUAAGUCAGGGGUGAAAUCUCGGGGCUCAACCCCGAAACUGCGCCUGAAACGGUUGAUCUAGAAUCUUGGAGAGGGAGGGAGAAUAUCGCAUGUAGGGGUAAAAUCCGUAGAGAUGCGAUGGAAUAUCGGAAGCGAAGGCGCCUUCCUGGACAAGUAUUGACGCUGAGGCGCGAGAGCGUGGGGAGCAAACA